rnacentral:tRNA from 1 species
GGAGCGGGACGCCAGGAGAGGCUUGGAAUCGGGCCCACAACCCGAAGGUCGCAGGUUCAAUCCUGCCCGCCACCA